GAUGAACGCUGGCGGCGUGCUUAACACAUGCAAGUCGAACGGAGAGCCAAUGACGGAGUUUUCGGACAACGGAUUUGGUUUCUUAGUGGCGGACGGGUGAGUAACGCGUGAGCAACCUGCCUUGGAGUGGGGAAUAACAGCUGGAAACAGUUGCUAAUACCGCAUAAUGCAGCGAGGGGACAUCCUCUUGCUGCCAAAGAUUUAUCGCUCUGAGAUGGCCUCGCGUCUGAUUAGCUAGUAGGCGAGGUAACGGCCCACCUAGGCGACGAUCAGUAGCCGGACUGAGAGGUUGACCGGCCACAUUGGGACUGAGACACGGCCCAG
rnacentral:rRNA from 1 species